GGCUAUAGAUGUAAAGGCAGUAAUGUCAUAGUCGAGUAGUACUAAUAACCCGUAAGCUUAUGUACACC
rnacentral:rRNA from 1 species